rnacentral:lncRNA from 1 species
UUAACGAAUUAGAGAUACUAAUUAUAGUAUAGUACUGAUAAUAAAUAGUAUAGAAACAACAAUCUAAAAGAUUAAGGCUUGUAAGAUAUCUGCAAAUAGUACAGAACUGCAUUAUUAAUAUUACACAAAAGAGAAGGUCUACUGGUGUUCCGUACAACAAGCAAAAGAGUUGUGAUUUAAAGGGGUCUACAUAACAUAAUAUGUGUAAUGAAGGUUAG